UUGUUGUGGAGUCGGUAUUGUUUUCAUUUUCUCUAUUUAAUUUAACGUUUAACUUAAACUUGCCUUUGAACUUUACACUUUUAGAAUUAAGGAGUUAACAUUUAUUGCUAUUUUCAUUCAAUUAAGCUUAUAUUUAUGAUCAUAGCUGAAUUUUUUAGUUUAUCCCUUCUGUUAAAAAAAAUUAGUUUAUCAGUAAUCGUUCUGUUAUUGCUUAGGAAAUUUUGGUGUUUCUUUUUGCGCCCCCGACUUUCGCCCCCUGAAAUUCCAAAAAUAUCUGCUCUGGCGAGUGUUAAAGGGGCGCAAAAUCUGGGAAAACACACUUCCCUACUUAAAGUGCAUACCAUUCCUUCAUCCUUGUGAAAACAUUUUUACAAGGUUCAUUAGUUGAAGUGCGGACUGUGUUUUUCAAGAUAAGCCAGAGGGCGCGAAAAGAAUCACCCUAAAAAUUAAUUUUUCUUUUGUAGGAUAGAAAGUUUAGAAUGAGGGGAUGAUAUGUUGAUUGUAUAAUUAUUAGUACCAUUUAAAAAAAAGAAG
rnacentral:lncRNA from 1 species